AUACUUAUUUUGCAUAGGUGAUACCAUGGUCAUGAAGAUUGUUCUAACAGGGUGAGGUUCAUUCAUUGCAUUCUGGGUGUGCUGACCCCUGUGAUUUCCCCAAAUGUGGGAAACUCGACUGCAUAAUUUGUGCUUUCCACUGGUUGGCUCUGGUCUCUCUCCAC